UAGACAUGCGUAUACUCACAUACACUGACAUACAUACAGGGUGUCCGCGGGUCCUUAAAAAGUCUUAAAAAGUCUUAAAUUGCUUUUCCUAAAAAUAAGGCCUUAAAAAGUCUUAAAUUGUCUUAAAUUCAGAUUGGAUUGGUCUUAAAUUUUUUGCGUGUCAUGUCCAGGGGUUUUCCUGGGUCAAAAUGGGUCUUCGGUGCUCCCAAAGAAUAUGUUGGCGCGCUGCGCGCGCGCACCGUCUAUCUGUGCAGGUCGGGCUGUUGAGUGAUCAGCAGCUGUCCGCUCGGUCCAUUUGCGCACCUCACAGUUGCGUAUUGAUCAGACAAGAAGACACGCUUAUCAACUCCAGUGUUUCCCCUAUAACAGGGUGAAAUCCCCCCCCCCCCCCCGCAAACAAUUCUCGGCUCGCGCGACAGAGCGAUGCGCGCGCCGGCAUCGAAUCUGACGUGAUGCGCGCACACGGGUGAGCACCGCGUAUUCGGUCCUAUCAAUCCCCUACAACGUGAAGCAUCGGCUACUUUAGAAAACAUGGCAGGAUGCAAGUUCAACAACGGCUUGAAAAGAACGAGUGUUUCUGGUCACGGUCGGUGAAAUGCUUCUGAAGCUGCGUUAUGUGUCGCGAGACUUUCCAGCGGUGGAAUCUCACGAGCAGAGCAAGAAGCACAGAGACUAGCGAAGGCUGCCAGCAGCCCGCGGGGCUAGCUGCUGCUCCGCCGCCCGCAACGACGUCAACUACAACGCUGGAGGUCACCGGAGGAAAUCCAGCGCCUUGCAACAAAGAGCUCAUCACCGAAGUCCAACGCUGCAGUGCGUUCUUCAUUCUGUUCCACGAGACUCUGGACCAGACCACCGCGAGACUCUGGACCAGACCACCACGAGACUCUGGACCAGACCACCACGAGACUCUGGACCAGACCACCGCGAGCAGACAGCUGGACUUCAUGUGCUAUUGGUGAAAUGACCACGUCCCGUCAGGAUCCUGUGGAGCUCAUGGGCCAUGACACCAGGACCUACUUCAGCAUCUCACAGAGAAUGGACCAAAUGUCAACUGGAAGUUUUUAUAUUAAUACAGUUUGAAAAGGAUUGUUUUCCUAGUAUAUUCACAAAAGCUCAGGAGGAGACGUAUGAACCUGUGACACACACAUCCAUCACAUGGAGACAUGAGAACACACACACACACACAUACAUUCUAUUAUGUAAAUGAAUUUGCAUUUUAAAAGCAGCUGGAAAUGUUAUUUGUUAUUUUAUGGAUUUUUUUUGUUCAAAAGGAACUAUGUUGCAUGUAUUUUUUAAAUAUAUUUACUUAAUUUUAGAGACAUUUGUUCAUGGGACUUAAAUGUUCUGAAAAUGUAUUAAUAAAUAUAAUUUACAACAGCAA